rnacentral:rRNA from 1 species
GACGAACGCUGGCGGCGUGCUUAACACAUGCAAGUCGAACGAAGUGGCGAACGGGUGAGUAAUACGUGGGUAACCUGCCCUCAUUUUUGGGAUAAGCCUUUGAAACGGGGUCUAAUACCGACUACAGGUGGAUGGGCUCGCGGCCUAUCAGCUUGUUGGUGGGGCAAUGGCCUACCAAGGCGGUGACGGGUAGCCGGCCUGAGAGGGUGACCGGCAAGAUACAGACUGAGAUACGGCCCAGACUCCUACGGGGGGCAGGAGUGGGCGAAUUUGCACAAUGGGCGAAAGCCUGAGGGAGCGACGCCGCGUGGGGGAUGAAUGGUUUCGGGUUGUAAACCUAUGUCACUAUCGAACGGAUAGGUGAGGAAGAAGCGCCGGCUAACUACGUGCCAGCAGCCGGGGUAAUA